rnacentral:lncRNA from 1 species
AAAUCGAUUCGAGUUCCUUAACUAUGCAUGGUGAAUCUAACCUCACGACAUCCGCGCACCACCGAGGGUCGCUUCCUGUGUCGGCCGUCCCCAUCAAUUCUCUGACCCGUGUCGGGCCCACCUGUCUUGGUGCAAGAUUCCACAGACCCGGCCUCUGCCGUUCCGUGACCACACUUGCCACCACAUGCGGCCAUAGGGGAAACUCUGUUCCAGAGAAUGUGGC